UUUCGCAAUGCCCGAAAGGGUGACGAAGCGACGCCGCGUGUGGGAAGAAGGCCUUCGGGUUGUAAACCACUGUCGGGAGUUAGGAAAUGCAGGUGCGUUAAUAGCGCACUUGCUUGACUAAGGCUCCAGAGGAAGCCACGGCUAACUCUGUGCCAGCAGCCGCGGUAAUACAGAGGCGGCAAGCGUUGUUCGGAAUUAUUGGGCGUAAAGAGCACGUAGGCGGCCUUGCAAGUCAGCUGUGAAAGCCUUCCGCUUAACGGAAGAACGGCAUCUGAUACUACAGGGCUUGAGUACGGGAGGGGAGAGUGGAACUUCUGGUGGAGCGGUGAAAUGCGUAGAUAUCAGAAGGAACGCCGGCGGCGAAAGCGACUCUCUGGUCCGAAACUGACGCUGAGUGUGCGAAAGCUAGGGGAGCAAACGGGAUUAGAUACCCCGGUAGUCCUAGCCGUAAACGAUGGGCACUAAGUAGAGGGGUUUU
rnacentral:rRNA from 1 species